rnacentral:misc_RNA from 1 species
CCUUAAAGAACCUGCCUUUGUAGUGCUCACACAGAUUGUCUGAUGAAAAGUAAAUAGCAAGGCGUCUUGCGAUUGAGACUUCAGUGUCCCCUUCGUCUAGAGGCCCAGGACACCGCCCUUUCACGGCGGUAACAGGGGUUCGAAUCCCCUAGGGGACGCCACUUGCUGGUUCGUGAGUGAAAGUCACCUGCCUUAAUAUCUCAAAACUCAUCUUCGGGUGACGUUUGAGAUAUUUGCUCUUUAAAAAUCUGGAUCAAGCUGAAAAUUGAAACGACACACUGUUUAAGUGUGUUCGAGUCUCUCAAAUUUUCGCGACACGACGAUGUUUUACGAAACAUCUUCGGGUUGUGA